UGCCCCACCCCCUCCUUCCUAUAGACCACGUCCCGGCCUCCUAUAAAGACUUUACAUCGUGAACACCCUGUACUAUCUUACCAAACCGUCCCCAAAACCGGUCCAGAGCCCAGAGCAGCUGCAGGUCUUGAGAGCCGCCCAAGCUCUUCCCUCCGUCUCAUCCACCUCAGACCACAUCAGCAGACAUGAUCAUCAGACUGGGCAGACUGACACCUGGAUACUUCCGCCUCCUGCAGAGGCAAGUAGCCGGCGAGGUGCAGACGCAGCCACAGGACCGUGCCGUCAACCAGAUCGCCAUGAUGCUGGCCAUCAUGGGCCUGAGCAUGUCCUACUACAGUGCCAAACAGAUGACGGAGAAGGUCCAGGCCCAGCCUGCACCCUGAACUGACUUGACCACUCUUGAGAUCGAGGACGAUAAUGGACGAGCCCAUGAGAAGUGAAGGAGGUGGAGCCGGGACGGAGCCAGGACCGCACUUUUCUCACCUCACAGUCAAAGUCACACACAGACACUGAAUUUCUGGGAUCCCUCACUCAACAUGCGCAGAUUUCAGGGCCGCUGCAAAGUGUUUUCUCUACUUUCUGUCGUCGGGACCUUGAGGGGUUUGUGGAGAGACUGGUUUAAGGACUGGUUUGGGUGGGUGAACAGAACCAGCUGAGUCUGGCCAUUAGUUGUUACAAAGGUACAUGCAUAUGCAAUAUGCCACAAUACUGCUCCGAGCUCGAAAAAGGGGAAAACUUUUAAAAACUGUGAAUUCUGCUCAUGUUUGAUUCUGUCCAAAAAAGUGUGAUUAAUCAGAACAGUAAUGCCUUUUAAAGGAUGGCAGACGGCAGCUGAGAUGUACCUUGUAACAAAGUGAUGGCAGACACAGGACACGGUUAGAGGGUUAAAGAUAAUAGCUCAACCUGGUAUUUUUUGUUUCCGUCACAAGAGAACCUUGCAGAGUAUUCACAACCUGUCCAUAUAUAUAUAUACACGUGUGAAAUGUUUCUGUCGGAGUCUCAGUGAAUCUUUGCACACAAGUGCAGCCAUGUUUUAAAUACUACAAAAGAUCUGCAAAGGGAUUUAAAACUACUCACUACCUUUUUUAUGGUGUUUUUUUCCUGUGAUGUCACUGUUUUAACAUAAAUCUACAAACUUCUGUUAAUAACUAUCUUGAUGAGAACUCUUCCUGCAGUACAUGCAAACAUUUAACUGUAACAGAGCAUUGCAUGAGUGUGCAGACUUUUAAUCAAAGAAAAUUCAAGAGUCUGUCUUGUUUUUAUGAUGAAAUGAAUGUAUUACUUUAUUUUGUAAUGAUUUAAUAAAGCUGUGAAUAUUUUGAA